AUUGAACGCUGGCGGCAUGCUUUACACAUGCAAGUCGAACGGCAGCGCGGGCUUCGGCCUGGCGGCGAGUGGCGAACGGGUGAGAAAUACAUCGGAACGUGCCCAGUAGUGGGGGAUAGCUCGGCGAAAGCCGGAUUAAUACCGCAUACGACCUGAGGGUGAAAGCGGGGGAUCUUCGGACCUCGCGCUAUUGGAGCGGCCGAUGGCAGAUUAGCUAGUUGGUGGGGUAAAGGCCUACCAAGGCGACGAUCUGUAGCUGGUCUGAGAGGACGACCAGCCACACUGGGACUGAGACACGGCCCAGACUCCUACGGGAGGCAGCAGUGGGGAAUUUUGGACAAUGGGCGAAAGCCUGAUCCAGCAAUGCCGCGUGUGUGAUGAAGGCCUUCGGGUUGUAAAGCACUUUUGGCGGGAACGAAAAGGACUGUGCCAAUACCACGGUUCGAUGACGGUACCCGCAGAAUAAGCACCGGCUAACUACGUG
rnacentral:rRNA from 1 species